UAUGCAUAUUGAAUGAUUGAUUGCGUUUCGAUGCAUAUUGAAAAUUGCUUUUCAGUGGCCAGUGCUGGGCAAAAGGCUUCACUUUUCACCAUCCCGCUAACUGCAUCAGAAAAAAAACGACUUCAAAGACAUUUUUAAACCAGGGCACACACACACACACAAAACACACACGUUCUUAGCCUGACGUCAAUGGAGGUCUAUAAAGGUAAUUUUCUUAAAAAUUGUUCCAGACACAAAUGGAAAAACCACAAGGCAAUAACGCUUUUUAUUGAACUAACCGCAAUAGCUGUUCCACACAUCCUGUCAUUCUAAUUAGCAACCGCACAACACACACGCACAGCCCACACUACAGAAAUAACAGGAAGUGGAUAUAAUUCUGUAUAGCCCACCAGUAUUAAGUACUACGUAUCUCUGCAUUGACUGUACUCUGUUCUGUCUAGUUGCUUACGUAAGAAGUGUCAUUAGCAUGCCAUGAACAGAGCAUGAAAAAAUGGACUGAACUUAUGAGAAUGCACAAGUGCCCGACUAUGAGAUACCAUACACACACGUAAGUAAGCCGCUUGCUGCACAGUCUACGAUGCGGCUGCGCUUCUUCUUCUUUUUGCCACCUAUUAUUUAUGGGAAUAGUCCGGUCUCUAUUAAAUAAUGCAUACAAAAUUAUGUUUAUACACAAGAUAAUACUUAAUAAGAAAUCUCCAAAUCUUAAGUCUUCCGAGAUCGAUGGUAGCAGACAUGACUCAAGCAACUCUGCCGUAAUUAAACAUUGUACGUAUAUAACAGGGUCGGAGAUGCCGCCUUGUGCCUGUCACAUACAGAAAACCGCCUGUUACAUAUAUUUAACGGGUAUUAAAACAAUAGCAAAAACCAGAAAAUGUAACGAGGGAAGCAAGUUAUAAAAUUCGCGAGAAUUUUAAAGGAAUUGUAAUAUAUGUUCCGCUUAGCAAAAAAGUUAUUAUUGUAUAACUUGAAAAUUCUUAAAAUAAACAACAUUCUACAGCAUCAAUGUGCACACAAUUGUGAACAUUGUUGUUGCAACUAAAAAAGUUAAAAAGAAAGAAAACAAAAAUUAAAAAAGUGAAUUGCUGAUGUGGCUAAAAAAAUAACGUAACGAAAAGGCUGGCGAUGACAAUGCAAACUGAACAGGACAUUAUGGACAGGAGGCAAAGUAUACAGGACAGGAAAUUACGUACAUACAUGUUGCCUGAUCCCCAAACAACAACUAAAAAAUCACUUGAAUGCAUAACAAAGCAUAAAGCCACGCCACGCAUCAGUAAGUCCAGGCAAAGUCCGAAUCCCGUGCUCAGCCCAACAUUGUCAGCGCUUUGUUUUGCGCAUAACAUCGAAAAAAAGGACUGAAAAAAGGACGAGCUAAUGAUACAAAUGACAACGCAUAAAAAUUUGCAUAGCAUCGCACACGAAAGAAUCGAAAUAAAAUAAAAGGUUUGGCAAAAUAAAA